rnacentral:rRNA from 1 species
UGUCCUUUUGAUAAUAAUUUAAGGUCUAAUCUGCCCAAUGAUAAAAAUUUAAUGGCCGCGGUAUCUUGACCGUGCAAAGGUAGCAUAAUAAUUAGUUUCUUAAUUAGAAGCUGGAAUGAAAGAUUGGAUGAGAAAAUAACUGUCUCAAUAUAAUUUAUUUAGAAUUUUAUUUUUAAGUUAAAAAGCUUAAAUUUAAUUAAAAGACGAGAAGACCCUAUAGAGUUUAAUUUUAUUUUAAAGUAAAAAUUUAUUGAUUAAAAUUUUUUUAUUUUAAAAUAAAAUUUUGUUGGGGUGACAAAAAAAUUUAAUUAACUUUUUUUAUAUAAUAACAUUAAUUAAUGAAUAAUUGAUCCAAAAUUUUUGAUUAUAAGUUUAAAUUACCUUAGGGAUAACAGCGUAAUUUUUUUUAAGAGUUCUUAUCGAAAAAAAAGAUUGCGACCUCGAUGUUGGAUUAAAGUUAAAUUUUGGUGUAGAAGCUAAAAAUUUAGGUCUGUUCGACCUUUAAAACUUU